ACGAUAAAGCUUUGAUUAAUCACGCAUAAAUCUUUCGCCUUUUACUAAAGAUUUCCGUGGAGGGGAACAAUUGAUGAGUCUAUAGACCAAUUUUUUGCGCUCAACGCUGGAUGGAA
rnacentral:snRNA from 1 species